rnacentral:rRNA from 1 species
UACAGAGGGUGCGAGCGUUGUCCGGAAUCACUGGGCGUAAAGGGCGUGUAGGCGGCCAACUAAGUCCGACGUGAAAUCCCCAGGCUUAACCUGGGAACUGCGUCGGAUACUGGAUGGCUUGAAUCCGGGAGAGGGAUGCAGAAUUCCAGGUGUAGCGGUGAAAUGCGUAGAUAUCUGGAGGAAUACCGGUGGCGAAGGCGGCAUCCUGGACCGGCAUUGACGCUGAAGCGGCGAAAGCUAGGGGAGCAAACGGG